AAGGAUGAAGAAACAGUUAAAGCUGAUCAGGCGAGGAAUUAUGGUACCUCCCUUUCAGUGGAUGCAUGUGUGCAGUUUUCAGUCAUGUGGCUAUGACAAACCUUUGUUCAUCUCCAGUUCCAGCAGUCUGCUCUAAUCUUCCUUUUCAUAAGAGCUGUAUACUUCUGUGGCACUCCACCAAGGAAAAGGCUUUAACUAAAUCAUGAAGCAAUUGUUCAAAAUCCUAAGUAGAAACCUGUUUAUUUCUAUAUGUAGCUGAAGAUCAAAUUUGUUAAGAAGCCUAAGCAUGUUCCAGUCAUCUUAAGAGUAAAACACAGUAUUACCUAUCUCAGCAAAUACUAAUGAAGCUGAAAUGCCAAUUUACAAAUAGACCAACUGUAUAAAAAAUAGAAACAUUUGCCUUCCAUUUAGUAGUUCAGCUACUCAAAUAAUUUUAUGUAUGAUGUGUACCUUUCCUUGACAGCUUGUAUUCCUGGGUAGAGCUGCAGGUCCUGAAGAAUGGGUGUAAUAUGAGCUCAAUAGCUCUGCUUUCUCCCUGUGAGAAAACGUGUUGUGUGAGGGAGCAACUUUAUUGGCUGCUGUCUCACCACUGCUCCCAUACAUUGCAUAAACACUGCUGUUGGAAGCUGCUAUGGACCAUGGGUUGCAGGGUCUUUGGUGGUGUUACCAUACUUGUUUCUGGGAUCGUGUUGUAGAGAGCAAGACACAUUCCUAAAUGAAAAAGGAAGUUGUGUGGAGGUGAGGGCCAGGUUCUUGAAGACAAAGAUGCUACAACUAUAAAGACAUGCACAGCUCUGCAGGGAUAGCUCAGUCCUUUGGAAACUCAGUAGGUGGCCUCUAAACGCAUUUAAUAUCUGGUUUACAAGACAGUUUUCUUUUGGAGUUCUUUACGUUCAUCAUAUAUCACUUCAUUGCUCAAUCCUCUGAACUGGGCUAUAUAAUUACUGACAGGCUGCAGAUGGCUGUUAAGACAAGUCUGCAGAGCACAUAACAACGAAUUAGUGUCUGCAGUGAAGCUGCCACAGGUGAGGUUACACGUUUGGGCUUGAGACUGUCUUAACAGCUCAUUUCCACAUAAAGAAGUUUUGCGCCCUUCUCCUCCUGUCUUGGCCCUCCUACCCUCACAUGCACUGACUUGUGUUUUCUGACCCCACACUAAGUCAAUUCAGUUUAUUGCAAUCAAGAAGAUAUUAAACUGGAAAAAAGGUGAA